rnacentral:rRNA from 1 species
UUCCAGACUCCUACGGGAGGCAGCAGUGGGGAAUAUUGCGCAAUGGGGGAAACCCUGAUGCAGCGACGCCGCGUGAGUGAAGAAGUAUUUCGGUAUGUAAAGCUCUAUCAGCAGGGAAGAAAAAAGACGGUACCUGACUAAGAAGCCCCGGCUAACUACGUGCCAGCAGCCGCGGUAAUACGUAGGGGGCAAGCGUUAUCCGGAUUUACUGGGUGUAAAGGGAGCGUAGACGGCAGUGCAAGUCUGGAGCGAAAGGCGGGGGCUCAACCCCCGGACUGCUCUGGAAACUGUACGGCUGGAGUGCAGGAGAGGUAAGUGGAAUUCCUAGUGUAGCGGUGAAAUGCGUAGAUAUAAGGAAGAACACCAGUGGCGAAGGCGGAUGACUGGACGGCAACUGACGGUGAGGCGCGAAAGCGUGGGGAGCAAACAGGAUUAGAUACCCCAGUAG